rnacentral:tRNA from 1 species
GGGGGUGUGGCACAGUUGGUAGUGCAUCUGAAUGGCAUUCAGAGGGUCAGGGGUUCGAUUCCCCUCACCUCCA